UUGGACGCUACCACAUAUGCGGCAAAUGUUGUUGAGGCAAUAGCAGGGUCAGUCCCCAUGAUCCUUGCCACAAUGCUGACAGAUCUUAUCGCGUCCUACUGCUGGAACCUGAAGGGAAGCGUGAGUCAUUAGUCUGGGUCUCUUAUUCAGUUGAAUAGGAUCAGUAGGUGCUGGUCUAUAGUGUAGGGCUGAGGACCUGAGGUUCCCUACUACUUGAGGGAAGGUGCGAAGGCUCAUCUCCACUAAUUGUGCUUUAGCUAAAGCAGCUGAAUAAGUACUGAGCUCGAGCACAAACAACUACUAUCUAAUCUCAAGACAGAGACUCAACUCGAACUUUCUAACCUUUCUACCUUCAUCCAUCAUGCUAUCAGGAGAAUAUUAACCCAACUCUAGGAACUUGCGAGCAUAUUCUGAUACAGUCAUGUCCCUCUAGACCAAGUGUGCAAACUCC
rnacentral:lncRNA from 1 species